rnacentral:rRNA from 1 species
AUGGGCUUCGGACAGAGAUGCCGUGAUUUGAUUGCAACCGUGCUCUGCUCAACCUCCUCCAGAGUAAUCCUCAAUGGUGAUCCAGGGCUGCCUUUCUACCAUCGGUGUGGCUUGCGACAAGGCGACCCAGUCUCGCCUUUUUUGUUCCUGCUUGCUAUAGAGCCACUACAGUGUAUCUUCGCGUCUGCAACCGAAGCCGGGAUCCUGAAGCCUAUUGCGCACAAUUUGGCCUCCAUCAGAGUCAGCCUUUAUGCGGACAAUGCUGCCCUAUUUCUGAACCCGUGCAAGUAUGAGAUGAUGGCCUCACAAGCAAUCCUGGAAGCCUUUGGGAGAAUCUCUGGACCUACACCAACUUCAACAAGUCCUCGGCUUUCCCUAUCUGUUGUGAUGAGCUGGCAACUAAUGAAGUGCUCUCCGAAUUCGCGGGAACAACUGACUCUUUCCCUUGCAAAUAUCUCGGCCUACCACUUAGCCUCCACAACCUUAGGCGCGCCGACCUCCAAAUUCUGA